rnacentral:rRNA from 1 species
ACUGGAUACUACCUCUUACCGCAUGGUGGGUGGUGGAAAGGGUUUUACUGGUUUUGGAUGGGCUCACGGCCUAUCAGCUUGUUGGUGGGGUAAUGGCUCACCAAGGCGACGACGGGUAGCCGGCCUGAGAGGGUGACCGGCCACACUGGGACUGAGACACGGCCCAGACUCCUACGGGAGGCAGCAGUGGGGAAUAUUGCACAAUGGGCGGAAGCCUGAUGCAGCGACGCCGCGUGAGGGAUGACGGCCUUCGGGUUGUAAACCUCUUUCAGUAGGGAAGAAGCGAGAGUGACGGUACCUGCAGAAGAAGCGCCGGCUAACUACGUGCCAGCAGCCGCGGUAAUACGUAGGGCGCAAGCGUUGUCCGGAAUUAUUGGGCGUAAAGAGCUCGUAGGCGGUUUGUCGCGUCUGCUGUGAAAGCCCGGGGCUCAACCCCGGGUCUGCAGUGGGUACGGGCAGACUAGAGUGCAGUAGGGGAGACUGGAAUUCCUGGUGUAGCGGUGAAAUGCGCAGAUAUCAGGAGGAACACCGAUGGCGAAGGCAGGUCUCUGGGCUGUUACUGACGCUGAGGAGCGAAAGCAUGGGGAGCGAACAGGAUUAGAUACCCUGGUAGUCCAUGCCGUAAACGUUGGGCACUAGGUGUGGGGGACAUUCCACGUUUUCCGCGCCGUAGCUAACGCAUUAAGUGCCCCGCCUGGGGAGUACGGCCGCAAGGCUAAAACUCAAAGGAAUUGACGGGGGCCCGCACAAGCGGCGGAGCAUGCGGAUUAAUUCGAUGCAACGCGAAGAACCUUACCAAGGCUUGACAUUCACCGGACUACCCCAGAGAUGGGGUUUCCCUUCGGGGCUGGUGGACAGGUGGUGCAUGGUUGUCGUCAGCUCGUGUCGUGAGAUGUUGGGUUAAGUCCCGCAACGAGCGCAACCCUCGUUCUAUGUUGCCAGCACGUGAUGGUGGGGACUCAUAGGAGACUGCCGGGGUCAACUCGGAGGAAGGUGGGGAUGACGUCAAAUCAUCAUGCCCCUUAUGUCUUGGGCUUCACGCAUGCUACAAUGGCCGGUACAAAGGGUUGCGAUACUGUGAGGUGGAGCUAAUCCCAAAAAGCCGGUCUCAGUUCGGAUUGAGGUCUGCAACUCGACCUCAUGAAGUCGGAGUCGCUAGUAAUCGCAGAUCAGCAACGCUGCGGUGAAUACGUUCCCGGGCCUUGUACACACCGCCCGUCAAGUCACGAAAGUUGGUAACACCCGAAGCCGGUGGCCUAACCCCUUGUGGGAGGGAGCCGUCGAA